rnacentral:rRNA from 1 species
AUUGAACGCUGGCGGCGUGCUUAACGCAUGCAAGUCGUGCGGUAACAGGCGUAGCAAUACGUGCUGACGAGCGGCGAACGGGUGCGUAAUACAUGGGAAUCUGCCCUUUAGUGGGGAAUAACCCGGCGAAAGCCGGGCUAAUGCCGCAUAAGAUCUUCGGAUGAAAGCGGGGGAUCGUAAGACCUCGCGCUGAUGGAUGAGCCCACUGUCGGAUUAGCUAGUUGGUGAGGUAACGGCUCACCAAGGCGACGAUCCGUAGCUGGUCUGAGAGGACGGCCAGCCACACUGGGACUGAGACACGGCCCACGACUCCUACGGGAGGCAGCAGUGGGGAAUAUUGGACGAAUGGGGAAACCCGUGAUCCAGCGACGCCGCGUGUGUGAAGAAGGCCUGCGGGUUG